rnacentral:ribozyme from 1 species
UUUUUUUUUUUUUUUUUUUUUUUUCCUAGUUCUCUCUU